rnacentral:misc_RNA from 1 species
GGAUAUGUAAGUUUUCUUCCACUUGACUAAUACAGGAACUUAGAUUAUAUUUGCUAUAGGGAAUUUGUAAGUCUUAGUUAAGGAAAAUGUUUAGUUUUCUUCCACUUAAAAACCUGAUAGUUUUCCAGCUCAUGUAGUUCUAUGAUUAGUAAUUGCUACAUGUGAAAUAGAUUAUCUGAGAACCUUUUGGGGUUCAGAUAUGCCCACUUUCUAGGAAACAUUUG